UACAGAGGGGGCAAGCGUUGUUCGGAAUUACUGGGCGUAAAGGGCGCGUAGGCGGCCUUCUAAGUCGAACGUGAAAUCCCUGGGCUCAACCCAGGAACUGCGUCCGAUACUGGAAGGCUUGAAUCCGGGAGAGGGAUGCGGAAUUCCUGGUGUAGCGGUGAAAUGCGCAGAUAUCAGGAGGAACACCGAUGGCGAAGGCAGGUCUCUGGGCCGAUACUGACGCUGAGGAGCGAAAGCGUGGGGAGCGAACAGG
rnacentral:rRNA from 1 species